rnacentral:rRNA from 1 species
UACGAAGGGGGCUAGCGUUGCUCGGAAUGACUGGGCGUAAAGGGCGCGUAGGCGGCUUGCACCGUCAGAUGUGAAAUUCCUGGGCUUAACCUGGGGGCUGCAUUUGAUACGUGUGGGCUUGAGUGCGGAAGAGGGUCGUGGAAUUCCCAGUGUAGAGGUGAAAUUCGUAGAUAUUCGCAAGAACACCAGUGGCGAAGGCGGCUCACUGGCCCGAUACUGACGCUGAGGCGCGAAAGCGUGGGGAGCAAACAGG